ACGUAGGGUGCAAGCGUUGUCCGGAUUUAUUGGGUUUAAAGGGUGCGUAGGCGGUUCGGUCAGUCAGUGGUUAAAGGCAGCAGCUCAACUGUUGUACGCCAUUGAUACUGCCAGACUUGAGUGCGAUAGCGGAAACUGGAAUGUGUGGUGUAGCGGUGAAAUGCAUAGAGAUCACACAGAACACCGAUUGCGAAGGCAGGUUUCUAUAUCGUAACUGACGCUGAGGCACGAAAGCGUGGGGAGCGAACAGG
rnacentral:rRNA from 1 species